ensembl:lncRNA
UGGGGGAUUAAAACAGCUACCAUUUUAUUACUUAGAACCAACGCGUGGGUUCACAGGGCUGAACUGGAUCGUUCUUCUGCUGGUCUUGCUUGGAGUCUCUCAAGCAGAUGCAGUCAGAUGGCAGGAAUGUCCAAGACAGCUUCGCUCAUGUGGUGGGCACAUUAGCAGGGAGGGCUGGCAGGCUGGGGCCUCUCUUUCCGUGUCGUCUCUUCAUGUGGCUACCUAGAGCUUCUUUCCAUGGCUAACAGAUCCCCAGAGCAAGCACUCCAAGAAGACAAGCCACCACGUGCAGACUCUUCUCAGCCUUUGCUUGCAUCAUGCCUGCCCACAUCCAUUUUCCCAAGCUCAGAGUCGAUGCUGGAGGGGACUACACAUAGGUGUGACUAUUGGAAGGUGUGGCUCAUUGAGGGCCAACAAAGUAAUAGCCCAUGUGACCAUUAGGAGGAGAGCAGUUCCAAAGGCUUCCACUUGGCUUUUUCCUCACAAUAUCCCUUAGCUUAGAAGCCAAGGAAUAAAACGGCAGUUCUACAAACUACCAAGUAUGUCUGUUCCAGGGAAACGACCUCUGGAUGCUUCCGUGGACUCAAUGGACUAUGUAUGUUGGACCUAGGCUGUCUAAGAGGGAGGGACCCCGGGUAUCAAGGUCAACUGAGACUCUGCUGCCAACUCUGUUUGAAAUAUUUGGGUGUGCAGUUACCAGAGUAACUUCAUCCAGUUACCUGAGUACCAUUGGAGGCCCUUUGGGGAAUUAUUAUCCGAGGAAUUAUUAUCAUAUUUACCUGCGUGGUGUUGCAAGUUCCUUCGUCCUGGAGAAUCUGCCUUUCCUUCAGUCAACAGGUUCUGUCCAAAAACUGGCUCAAGUCUGGAAACUGGACAAGGGCCUUCAUGAACUUUUAUUGGAGUAGUUCCCUCGACCUCCUCAUGGUCUAGCUUUGACGUCUUUUGAUUGGAUGGGCUGAGCCAUCCUUUGUUGGCUGCCCGUCGAUCUCACCUGUAGAGACACUACAUUUUACUAACCAUCUCCAUAGCUCUCAGUGGCUCAGGGUUUCUGGCUGCCACUUCGACCUGUGCCGUUCAUUACGAUAACUGUGCCCUCCUUGCUUUUGAUAGUUAAGUACCACCGCCUGGAUCCUAUCAGCCCCAUUGCUAUCACCGAACUCGGUCCUGGAACAGCAUCACCUACUUUCAGCCGUGCCCUUCAGAGCACAGCCAACACUGAACCAUUCCGUGAUGCUAGUGUCCUUCCUGCUCAUUACUUAUUGUUUGUUAAAUGGAUGGUUCUUCUGGCCUUCCCAUGGAACAUAGUUAGUUGGUAUAUUUUUUGUCCUUACUUCGUAUUUUCUCUCUAGCAUGCCCACUUCUCAGCCUUUGAUCCCUUCUCCCAACUACCACACAGUUCUGGCAUUUCUACUUCACUUAGCGUAGACCAUCACUUUCUCCAAGCUUCCAAGGGCAGUGUGUUAGCAGCGUGUUAGCAUCCUCCCCUGGGGUCCGUGCCAAAGUGUUAAAUCAUAUAUCCUGUGAGAGUGUUCCCAUUUCAAUAAACCCUCCUUUAACCAACUGUGUACUUCCCCUUCACCAACAGCCCCAACUGAUCCUGACUCCCGUUCAUACUCUUCCAGCUCUGGUACCACAUGUUGGCCAGGUAUUCUUGCUACCUUUCCUCCCUUAGUAGGCCCGGACUUCUCCGGCCAGGUUAUAUGGUAGAAAGGAUAACCAUGUAGAGAUAGAUCCUGGGGGUAGACGGGAUUGGUGACGUCUUUUUCAAGGCAAAAAUCUUUGCCUUGUCUUCAAGAAAGGGGUGCACCAGUCUUUAAUAGUGAGGACUGUGGCCAUUUCUGCAGGCUCAGAAAGUUCAGGAGACUCAAGGGAUAAAGAGUGUCGAUUACACUAACUCAAGUGAUCCCAUCCCAAGUCUAAGAGUCCCACACCUUUCUCAUCAGGACUCUGACCUUAGGGCAGGAGAUUUGCCAGGUUUGAGAAUUCAACCUCUUCCAGAGCUGCGUCGACAUUAUAAUUAAAUCCUAGACUUGAUGCUGAGCAUUUUCUGCCCUUUGGCUGCUGGAAAUGAGAGUCUCUUUAUAUGUUGCAAGGAGGCCCUCUGCUUUUCACACUUCACCUUAAAUUGGUGUUUAAUCACCUUCAGACUUUCGUUUUUCUCAAUGCCUUGAUAUCCCCCGACAAGUGCCAUCCAAUUCACAAUCUUAAAAAUUUUUACUUGCUCUGAACCUCUAAAGCGCUGAACAUUACAUCUGCCAGUGAAUUCCCUUUCACUGGUAUCCCAUCUCAGUUCACCCCCAGAGAAAUUUUAGCAACUGCACCAUCCCACCAUCAUGGGGCUACUAACAAUGAUGGAGUCCUCAUGGCCACCUGGUCAGUGGCAUCAUCCCCCAGGGUCCAAAAUCCUAAUUUGGAUUCUGCUUUGUAGGACUAUGCCUGGCACUAGCCUUUGUAGGUGGACUCCCUGAAAACAAAGUCCAGGGUGGAGGUUUACUGGGGUGUCUUGUUGGAAAGAACCCCUGUAAGCAAGUGAGGGAAGCAGAAUGGAGCACAAGGGAGAGCUGAAGUGUGAUACAGUGGCAACAAAGAUCUAAGCCUAUUUCACGGGGAGCUCUAAAGCUGGAAUGGCUAUUGAGGCAAGCGGAUAGGGCACCUGUACCACCACGCCAACCUGUCCUUGGGGCGAGGCAGCUCCCUCUGUCCAAGGACAGUUUCUGAGGGAGGACUUUGCUAUGAGCCAUCAGCAGACAACGUGCCUCCCCACUGGAGGAACGAGGGCCAGUGGGGAGGGCUCUUCGCAGCAUCCCCCAUACAGCCCAAGGAAGAGAGUUUACUACACAAAACGCAUCGUCUAAAUGCACUCGUUAAUAAUAAUGCGAUACUAGGAAAGCAUAACUGUGUUCUGAUUCUACUUAAAGACCUGGCCAAUACCCAAUAAUGGCAGGACAGUGAGAAAGACGACAAAUAUCAAAAGGCUCACAAUCCUAAAAUCCUGUGACUAAAGAGAAAAAUAAAUUAAACCACCCAGUCAGGGCCAUCAACCUGGGUUGUGGUUAAACUCAUCUUGAACUUAAAAAACAGGUUCCACGUCUGGACCAAGAAUCCACCGGUGCAUCCCAGAACUGCCGUCUAAGUUGGUCUGGUAAAAUUACUGCGAAGCAAGAGGGAGAAUGAGGAAACAGAUGUGGCUAGAAAUAAUCCAACACUGAAAUCAACCGUGUAAGUGUUAAGAACAAGGUCUGCAAUCAUUGUGAUACUGUGUGUGUUUUAUCUCCUUCUUAGGUUAUUCAGAGCAUUUAAGAGAAUCUGAUACAUGGGACUUGUGAAAAUUAACUGUUUAGAAGGGUUUAAUCUGGGCCAGCCUCCGUGACCUAGUGGCUAAACUCUGCGUGUUCCACUUUGGCACCCCAGGUUCAGUUUCUAGGUGCAGACCCACACCACUCUGUUAGCAGCCAUGCUGUGCUGGCAGCCCACAUACUAAAAGAUAGAGGAAGAUUGGCACGGAUGUUAGCUCAGGGCAUAUCUUCCUCAGCAAAAAAAAAAAAAAGGGAGAGAGAGAGAGAGUUUAAUCAAAUAAGUUCCUAAGUUUUGGGGGGAAAAUAUCUUCUCAAACUCCUAAAUUUUGACUUCUUAGCUGUGUUAAGCAGUGUAUAAAUAUUUAGCGGAAUAUUAUUUAAUCAUUAAAGAAAUGCUUAUUGUUUCAUAAAGUCCGAAAAGUUAAUAAAUUGAGCAUCAAAGAAAAGAUAGAUAGUAGCAAGCAUUCCUCUCCAGGUGAAGAAGCCCUUCAGACAGUAAAUAAUAGUAUCAACAGAGACGAUAUCAGAAAUGUGAAAUUGCUUACCCCAGGCUUGGCACAGAACACAUACUUGAUAUAUGUUGAUAUUGUUUUAACUAUAAAAUCCCCAUAUUCAAAAGACGGUACCAACCAAAAACAGUUCAAAGCUAAAUAUAAGUCAUCGAGUGUUCUCCACAGCUUUUACCUUUUCAUAUCUAUCUUCUCCCAUUCGCCAGACAAUUGUGGGCUGACUCCACAUGCAAAUCUUUAUGGAAUUCUCUGUGUUGGCCAUAAUAUAGGAGGCGCUCUUUCUCUGGUUCUCCAGCAACUCCUUCCAUCCUUUGUUCUUCCUGGAAGGCAGCAGAUGGAGCGAGUUCCAGGGUCCCAGCGAGUGUCAGCUGGAAUUGGUAAUUAUUUGAGACUUUAUGCAAGUCACUUCCACCAAAAAGGCUGCUCUACUUCCAGAGUGGAAGAGAAUCAGAAAAAUCAAAACAGAUUCAGAUUUAUUUUUGUGUGGCACAAUAAACAAGACACUGGACUACUAACACUUCAGAGACACCGAGAACCAGGCGAAGAUUCUGAACCUUCCCAGAUGUGUGUUUAAGUACUCGGGCUUCCAAAUGCAUGCUGUACACUCCACACCACUCUCCUGGAAGGAUUAAAACAAACCCCAACGAGUGUGUUCCCUUUUCUUUGUAAAGCAUUUAAGCUCUGCUCCUGUGGUGCAGUGGGAGCCCUCUGUCCCCGGACUGCUAACCUCUCUUGGAAGUUUUCAAACCUCAAGUAAACGUGGAUUUAAAGAUGUGAGAGCUUCCUGGCUCCAUUCAAAGACACUUUGAUGUCAAAAAGAGGGAGCGCACAAUGCCCACUCUCUUCUCACGGAUUUGUUUGUGUUUUUGGUUUUUUUUCAGACUCUUCGUUUCCUUUUCAUUUUGUGUUGAGUUAGUAUUUACUUUUCAAGUCACUUUCCUGAGCCAGCUUGUCAGCAAACAUCAGCCAAGUCGGCCUGGGGCUGCUCUAGGAGCCAGAGUCCCUGGGGGCCCAGGCAGCACCUGACCGCCAGCUUUCAGCAUUUCCUCCUUCCCAGCAGAUCCACAAAACACAAAGACCAUCUCCUGGAGAAAGAAUCUUCUUGUCCUCCAAGGUGGCUUUCCAUGAGACACUAUGAGGGAGAGGAAAAAUCUCUGGUCCCCAGAGGCCUGGAUUCCAGUGCCAGUGCUGCCACAAGCUGGCUGUGUGACCUCAGGCUCUUUCUGGACCUGCCUGGGAUGGACUCUGCUCUCCCCCGAAAGCCUCAUUGCAUGAAUAACAAACCUUUUCAUCUCCUCUUGAUAUGUGACAUAAUCAGUCUCAACAUCUGAGCCAAAUUUUGGGUUGAGGUCCAUCCAGUUUCUACAGGGUGGUCACAAUAGACAAUCUCUGAGAUCCUCAUUCGGUGACAGCACUGUCCAGAAGUGUAACGCAGGCUGCAUACGGAAACUGAAAGUUUCUAGUACCCACCUUAAAAAGGUAAAAAGAAACAGAUGAAAUCAGUUUUAAUAAUAUAGUUUAUUUAACCCAAUAUCUCAAAUAUUAUCAUUUCAACAUUUAAUGAAUGAAAAAAGUAUUAGUGAGCUGUUUUAAUGUUACUUUUUUCUGCACUAGUUCUUCAGAAUCUGACGAGCGUUUGCACUACACCACAUCACCAUUUGGACCAGCCACAUUUCAAGCGCUCAAAACCCACAGCGGGCGAGCGGCUACUGUUUUGGACAAUAGCUGUGAUGAGAUCCCAGGGCAGGCCCUAGACUCCUGAAACUGUCGUCCUUAUAAAAAGUGUUACUGUAUUCAUCAAAACUGGGAUGUCAUUGGUUACAAGAUGUGCUCUUAUUUCCUAGACGCCAAAGAAACAAUUGUAUUUAUAAAUGACAUAAACUGUCAAAUGAAUUCAAACAUCAGAGAUCUUUAAAUGUGGGAAAAGUCUGUACCUUAGAAGGGAUUAGAUAAAGAAAACUCUCUAUACACCGUAGUUUCCCCUGAAGGCCUGAGCCCAGGCAAAGCUGGGAGGUGAGGAAGUCAAGGUCUUUGGCGCGAUCACCCAUUUCCUGCGAGAUCCUCUCUCCCUUGCCCCUCGAUACUUCCUUCUGUCAAUCUUUGCUUUAAUUAUCAUUCAGGGACGGGGAAGUGCUCAUUGAUGCGCUCUCAGUGCGUUGUAGGAAUCCUUGACAGGACACUUGUGUUUUCAAAGAGGACGUCUAAAUGAGACGGUCACUGAGCCCUGUGGAUGCUGUGAGCUGAUCCAAUCUUUCCAACAACACUGCGACUUAAGCAUUAUUUUCAUUUCCAAAGGCAAAUAAAAAAAAAAAGCAGACAAAAAAGAGAGGUUACGUAACUCUCUCAAUGUCGAACAGCAUCUAAAUGGCAAGAUCAGCUUUCACACCUGGAUCUGUCUGAUUUAAGAGCUCAGGUCUUUUCUCUCUAACUAGAAGGAGGAGGAAAAAAGGCAGGAUGAUAGGAGGACCCCAGAAGGCAACCACUUACCUACUCCCCUUCCUAAUAAGACCCCUUACCCCUCCACGAAGGCCUAAAGGUUGAACGGACAGUGGCCUCCUCCACCAGGAACACCAUCAAACGUCAGCUCCAGCCACGGUAUUUGUCCACCACUGAUGAUUCAGCAGGUUUCCUUUGUAAGACGGCAAGAAGCACUUGGAACCGACAAUCCCCUAAAAAAAAAAAAUGCACCACCCUGAGCUCCAGGGGAAUGCCUCAGUGAACAGAUGCAAGCACGCAAAGAAAAGAAAGGGCUGCAUGUGCAUCUUCAGUGGUGAGCCUGCACAGCUGAGCGGUCACGGCCCAUCACUCACGACAGGAUGGCUACGCAGCUGCAGGUCUCGGCCGCCCAGCAGCCAGGGCCGGGCAGGCAGGGCUUGUUUUUCUUCUCCGUGGGUUUGACAGCAGCAGCCCGAAGUCCUACUCAGAUCUGAAGGGCUGCCCAGCAAGCCAGGCAGAUUGAAUUCCAGCCUGGCACGGAGAGCUGAGAUGUGAGAAGGGGGUGUUCUUUGGGAUAACCGGCGUCAAGGCAGCACCCAGCAUAAGCACGGCUUCCAAACACACAGGCAGAGAGCCCCUGAGCUCAGUCUCUCAGCUGGAGGUGUGGGUGGGUAUUCAGCACUAUUUAUCAUUAACAGACUGUGCAUAUUAGGGAGAAAGUAAACAGGAAAAGAGUGAUUAGAUGCCUUAAUAGAGAGAUAAGACAGUGCAAAAAGUCAUCCAGCUCUGCACUGA